UGCCAGACUCCUACGGGAGGCAGCAGUGGGGAAUAUUGCACAAUGGGGGAAACCCUGAUGCAGCGACGCCGCGUGAAGGAUGAAGUAUUUCGGUAUGUAAACUUCUAUCAGCAGGGAAGAAAAUGACGGUACCUGACUAAGAAGCCCCGGCUAACUACGUGCCAGCAGCCGCGGUAAUACGUAGGGGGCAAGCGUUAUCCGGAUUUACUGGGUGUAAAGGGAGCGUAGACGGCAUGGCAAGUCUGAUGUGAAAACCCGGGGCUCAACCCCGGGACUGCAUUGGGAACUGCCCCGCUCGAGUGCCGGAGGGGCAGGCGGAAUUCCUAGUGUAGCGGUGAAAUGCGUAGAUAUUAGGAGGAACACCAGUGGCGAAGGCGGCCUGCUGGACGAUGACUGACGCUGAGGCUCGAAAGCGUGGGGAGCAAACAGGAUUAGAUACCCUUGUAA
rnacentral:rRNA from 1 species